GUCUGUGGACUGCUGCUCAGUUGGUUAGAGCAUGGUGCUGAUAAUGCCAAGGUUGCAGGUUCGAUCCCCAUAUGGGACA